rnacentral:lncRNA from 10 species
UUUUUUGCCGUCUGGUCAUCCUCGUCGGUCUUCUGCUUCUGGGUAUCGACAUCGUUAUCCUCAUCAUCUUCAGCUGCCCGCUUGCCCGUAGCUGACUCAGCUCCCUCAUCUUCAUCUCCAUCCUCUUCCUCACCAUCACCUUCUUCCUCCCCACCUUCUUCCUCUUCUUCAUCUACCUCGUUGUCAGCCUCCGGCUCCCCAUUUUCCUCAUUAGCAUUCCCGUGAGCAGGGGCGUCUCUUCCAUUUUCCGCCUCUUCCACAACUUCCUUCUUCUCCUUUAAGUCCUCGGUGGUGAUUUCGGAGCUGGUGUCUACGGCUGCGUCUGACAUGGUGGGGCACGCCGGUGACGCGAUGCAGGGGAUAAAAAAGAAAGCGACAGUUCAGGGACUCUGGCGAUAAAGCUGCCGGAGUCCGCGGCGGCGGAGGCGGCUGCGGCGAGCAAGGAGGCUGACGACGCACAAUGCAAAGACGGCUUUUCAGAGCAGCCAGUGGGGCAGGACAAUGUUUUUCAUCAAAUGUCCUUAGAUUUGGAGGAGGUUUCCCCAGUGUAUCCAGUGGUUGUCUUCCUCUUGAUUAAUAUUAAAGGAGGAGAAAAAGUGUGUAUUGGGGUCAGUGCAGAAAACAAAUCAUCCAAGCACACGAAGUGGAAUUUGCUAAUAGCAUUACUACUCACCCAGUGACUUCGGAGUCACAACCCAGGACACGGUUUUCCGCCCAUUUCUACAGACACAGUGAGAUUCUUCAUUCUUCUCUGUUGGAACAGCCAGGAAAGCGGAAGAGACCUCCAGCUGCACAACGACCUGUCCCCCACACCCAACCACAAGUUUAUGAAGGGAUGCAGAACAGCAUGAAUACUGCAAAAGAUGCUCUGUGCAUCAGGUAAAUGGACUGAGGGACAAUGUCCAUGAGUCCAGAGGCGCUGAGAAGCUGUGCAAAUAUGGUCAGCUCUAUCAGACACUUUGUAGUUUAGGUGUUUGAAACAAGAAAAUUGAAAAACUGACAGGAAUUAGGAUAAGUGUUUAGGAUUUAGCCUUGUGCCAACAGAAGAAAGAGGUGUUUAGUGAAAAACAUGAAACAAUCAGGUGGACAUAAUGUCUGAAUUUAGGAAUACACAGAUAUAGGAGCCUGAAUGAAUAUAACCUUACCACCUUGGGCCUGUCAGGUACCUUUUCUCUUAGUACCAGGUCUGCUCCAAAAUUAGGAUAUAUCAUAUGCAGUUCUGAUUUCCUGGGUUACCUAGGAGACCUGGUAAUGAAUGGUGACUAUCUUCUAUUCUCAUUCACUUCCAGAGAAGUGUCCUUACCCGAAUGCAGGUGGACAAGCAGUUAAACACAGUGGCUUUGAGUGUGAAGGCUUCUCCUCGCACCACAGAAUAAGGAAGGGUGAGUUCUAGGAAGAAAGGCUGGAAGGCUUGAAGAGACACGAUAGGAGAGAGGCCAAACCCUGUGGUUCCAGACAAGCAGAAUGCGCUGGCCUUCCACUCUGUGAUGGUUUCAGGGACCUGGUCACCAGCUCACUUAUACCUAAUGAGCUAGUGAAGGAGCAGAGAAGAGGAGUAUAAGCAAAUCUUUUUUUUUUUUUUUUAACACAAAGCAUGGCUGAUCCUAGAACAUGAUAACUCAGUAACCUAGUGUGGUAAAUGCUAAACUUGAUCUAAGGGUUGGUGCUCCUGGUGAGGUUUAAAGUUUUUUUUCUCCCUACCUCCCUUACUCCCUCCUUCCCUCCCUCCCUUUAUUUCUUCCUCUUUUCUUUCAUUCUUUCCUUCCUUUUGUUCUUUCUUUCAAUCUCCCUCCCCUCCCCUUCCCUUUCCUUUAUUUAAGAGGGCUGGUAGCAUCCUACUUUCUAUUAUCUUAGUUAUCAAUAGACUAAAUUAGAAAAAAAAUUAGCAUUGUUUAAUUAUGAGAUAAAUGAACUAUAAACCUAAAUAUUUACCAGAAAAGAGCAGAGCAGAACUAAAAGGAUCAGGAAUCCAGGAUAACAUCAGUCAUACAGCAGGAUUCAAACCCUCUCCUAAACUAAAUUCCAGGCAACACACAACUUACUCAACUACCACCAAAUCCCAGAUCCAGGUCUCAGGGAAGUACUUCCGGACUAUCUCUUUCACUUGCAAUAUCUGAGGUUCUUCUUCGAUCAUUGGGUACAUUAUUUCUACGGCUCCUGGGGGUACACCUCGCAGACCUGGUCCUGGAAGACAACACACAGGCCUCAGUGUGAACCUCAUUUUUAUCAUCAAUUUCUUAUUGCUGCCUUAUUUCUCAAAUGGAAUAAGGUCAUACGCUCAGGGAAUGUUUAUUAUUGGAACAAUUUAACCUACCAGCUUGUUAUUUUGUUCACUUUCCUAUAAAAAGGCUAAUCCUAUUUUUUCUUCAAAUAGAAUCUAGAGCUAAAUAUAUUUUUCUUUAUAAAUAAAAACAAAUGACCUGUACAUGUACCUCCUGAAUCUAAAAUAAAAGUUGAUU